AUGGGCGGCCUCCGCCUCUCCGCCUGGGCGGCCGCGCCCUCCCCCUCCCCCUCCCCCUCCUCCGCCGCCGCGCGGGGCUUCCCGCGGUCCCCGCCGGACUGGCGCGGGUCAGAGCGCGGGCGCCGCAGCCGCUGCGCCCCGUCGUCCCCGCCCUCGGCGUCGCCGGCGCUGUCCCUGGGCGCGGCCGGCCGGCUCCGGGUCGGGGCGGACCGCGAGUGGCUGUGGGACUGCCGCGGCGGCGGCCUCGGAGGGGGAGGGGGCAAGAAGGACUACGCCAAGGAGAUGGAGGCGGCGGUGCGCGUCGUGCAGGUCGCCUGCACGCUCUGCCAGCGGGUGCAGGACGCGCUCCUCCUUGCGGACCCAGGCUCCGGCUCCGGGGGCGUCCACUCCAAGCUCGACCGCUCUCCGGUCACCGUCGCCGAUUGGGGCGUGCAAGCGACAGUGAGCUGGCUACUCUCAGAUCGCUUUGGUGAUGAAAGUGUGUCGAUCGUAGCAGAGGAAGACGAUGAGACACUGUCUAGUAGCGACGGCACGGCUUUGCUUGAGUCUGUCGUCGCUGCAGUCAACGGUUGCCUGGUUGAAGCUCCAAAGUAUGGGCUGAGAUCCCCGGAGAAAGACCUCGGGGCUCAUGAUGUUCUUCAAGCUAUACGGAAGUGCAGCUCUACCGGAGGUCCAAAAGGAAGAUUUUGGGUGCUUGAUCCUGUGGAUGGCACGCUUGGUUUUGUGCGUGGGGACCAAUACGCUAUUGCUCUCGCCUUAAUUGAAGACGGGGAAGUUGUGCUCGGUGUUCUCGGGUGCCCAAAUUAUCCAAUGAAGAAGGAAUGGCUCAACUACCACCAACGGUACUACAGGUUGAUGUCUAAGGUUGCUCCCCCUACAUCAGGAACCUGGAACAAGGGUUGCGUGAUGUAUGCUCACAAAGGAUGUGGCCAAGCUUGGAUGCAGCCAUUGGUUCACGACUUUGGUAUGCUUAGUUGGCAUAACUCAAGGGAGGUUCAAGUAUCGUCCGUCAGUGAUCCUGUUUCAGCAACAUUCUGUGAACCUGUUGAGAAAGCCAACUCCAGCCAUUCCUUCACUGCAGGACUUGCCCAUAGUGUAGGCUUAAGGAACCAGCCUCUGCGUGUGUACAGCAUGGUGAAAUAUGCUGCAAUAGCACGAGGUGAUGCUGAAAUCUUCAUGAAAUUCGCUAGAGCUGGAUACAAGGAGAAGAUAUGGGAUCAUGCCGCCGGGGUGGUCAUCAUUCAAGAGGCUGGUGGAGUGGUCACAGAUGCUGGGGGUUGCCCGUUGGACUUUUCCAGGGGUGUUUACUUGGAGGGUUUGGACAGAGGCAUAAUAGCUUGUUCUGGGGCGUUGCUUCAUCGGAGAAUUUUGGAAGCUGUCGAUGCAAGUUGGAACUCAUCAACGUUGUAA
rnacentral:rRNA from 1 species